rnacentral:rRNA from 1 species
GGUUAGCGGCGGACGGGUGAGUAACACGUGGGCAACCUGCCUGUAAGAGGGGAUAACACCGGGAAACCGGUGCUAAUACCGGAUAAUCUUUUUCCUCUCAUGAGGAAAAGCUGAAAGACGGUUUCGGCUGUCACUUACAGAUGGGCCCGCGGCGCAUUAGCUAGUUGGUGAGGUAACGGCUCACCAAGGCGACGAUGCGUAGCCGACCUGAGAGGGUGAUCGGCCACACUGGGACUGAGACACGGCCCAGACUCCUACGGGAGGCAGCAGUAGGGAAUCUUCCACAAUGGACGAAAGUCUGAUGGAGCAACGCCGCGUGAGCGAUGAAGGCCUUCGGGUCGUAAAGCUCUGUUGUUAGGGAAGAACAAGUACCGGAGUAACUGCCGGUACCUUGACGGUACCUAACCAGAAAGCCACGGCUAACUACGUGCCAGCAGCCGCGGWAAUACGUAGGUGGCAAGCGUUGUCCGGAAUUAUUGGGCGUAAAGCGCGCGCAGGCGGUCCUUUAAGUCUGAUGUGAAAGCCCACGGCUCAACCGUGGAGGGUCAUUGGAAACUGGGGGACUUGAGUACAGAAGAGGAAAGCGGAAUUCCACGUGUAGCGGUGAAAUGCGUAGAGAUGUGGAGGAACACCAGUGGCGAAGGCGGCUUUCUGGUCUGUAACUGACGCUGASGCGCGAAAGCGUGGGGAGCAAACAGGAUUAGAUACCCCUGGUAGUCCACGCCGUACACGAUGAGUGCUAAGUGUUAGGRGGUUUCAGCCCCUUAGUGCUGCAGCUAACGCAUUAAGCACUCCGCCUGGGGAG